UACGUAGGGUGCGAGCGUUACUCGGAAUUACUGGGCGUAAAGCGUGCGUAGGCGGUUUGUUAAGUCUGUCGUGAAAGCCCCCGGGCUCAACCUGGGAAUGGCGAUGGAAACUGGCGAGCUAGAGUACGGUAGAGGAGAGUGGAAUUCCCGGUGUAGCAGUGAAAUGCGUAGAGAUCGGGAGGAACAUCAGUUGCGAAGGCGGCUCUCUGGACCAGUACUGACGCUGAGGCACGAAAGCGUGGGGAGCAAACAGG
rnacentral:rRNA from 1 species